rnacentral:rRNA from 1 species
ACGAACGCUGGCGGCAGGCUUAACACAUGCAAGUCGAACGCAUGCCUUCGGGCAUGAGUGGCAGACGGGUGAGUAACGCGUGGGAACCUACCCCUUGGUACGGGAUAGCUCCGGGAAACUGGAGAUAAUACCGUAUGUGUCCUGAGGGACAAAGAUUCAUCGCCAAGGGAUGGGCCCGCGUCGGAUUAGCUAGUUGGUGGGGUAACGGCCUACCAAGGCGACGAUCCGUAGCUGGUCUAAGAGGAUGAUCAGCCACAUUGGGACUGAGACACGGCCCAAACUCCUACGGGAGGCAGCAGUGGGGAAUAUUGGACAAUGGGCGCAAGCCUGAUCCAGCCAUGCCGCGUGAGUGAUGAAGGCCUUAGGGUUGUAAAGCUCUUUCACCGGUGACGAUAAUGACGGUAACCGGAGAAGAAGCCCCGGCUAACUUCGUG